UGUCGGAUGACAGUUAACUGGGAAAACAAACAUCCCGUUUUCUAAUCUUACCGUCCACUGUCCCUUUGACUUUUUCUGCUCUACAGACAGACAGGAUGGAUUUCGGAUUUCGCUGCCCCGUUAUCCUUUGCCUAACCCUGGCGGUUUUGGCCUCGGUUCUGGCCGAUUUGGAUGACCCUUUAAUGGGGGCACCCGGGUCUUCUGUCCGUUUAUCGGAAAACGACCCAGGUUUGAAGAAGGCACUGAAGUUUGCAGAGGACCGCUAUAACAUGGGGUCCAAUACGAUGCACGUUCGUAGAGUUAGCAAGAUCCUCUCUGCCAGUAAACAGCUGGUGAAGGGAAUCCGAUACAGCAUCAUGGUGGAGCUAAGUAACACCCAGUGUAAGAAGGCUGCCAGACUGAUGACCUGUGACUUCUACCCAGAGGAACACAACCUGAAGACGGAGGUGUGUGUGUUUGAGGUCUGGGACAUUCCCUGGGAGAGGAAGUCCACCCUGCUCAAACAGAAAUGCCAGCAAGCAGUUGAUCCCAAACCAGUUGAGACCAACAAAGUAGAAUUUCUGUCCCUCUCCACCAGCAAACCAGUUGAGGAGACAGAGUAUUUAGUGGAGCUUCUGGGCCAGUUCAAAGAGUUCAUGGUCAGAUACAAUAGGACUUACAGCAGCAAAGAGGUCACUGAGCGGCGGCUGCGUAUCUUCCAUGAGAACCUGAAGACCGCUGAGAAGCUCCAGUCUCUGGAUCUGGGCACAGCCGAGUACGGGGUCACCAAGUUCAGCGACCUCACAGAGGAGGAGUUUAGGACUCUGUACCUGAACCCCCUGCUGAGCCAGCAGAAAUUUCAGCGGUCCAUGAAGCCUGCAGCCAUGACCCACAGCCCCGCCCCGCCUAGCUGGGACUGGAGAGAGCAUGGAGCUGUCAGCCCUGUCAAGAACCAGGGCAUGUGUGGUUCUUGCUGGGCAUUCUCAGUGACAGGAAACAUUGAGGGCCAGUGGUUUGUGAAAACGGGUAAACUAGUGUCUCUCUCUGAGCAAGAGCUGGUGGACUGUGAUACUGUGGACCAGGCCUGUGGGGGCGGGCUUCCAUCAAAUGCAUAUGAAGCCAUCGAGAAGCUGGGUGGUCUGGAGACAGAGACUGACUACAGCUACACCGGCAAGAAGCAGAGCUGCGACUUCACCACCGACAAAGUCACUGCCUACAUCAACAGCUCCGUGGAGCUGUCCAAGGACGAGAACGAAAUUGCUGCUUGGCUGGCUGAGAAUGGACCAGUAUCUGUGGCCCUGAAUGCCUUCGCAAUGCAGGUUCAGGAGAGGCGAAGGUCAAGUCAUGCGUCUACCGAAACAUGACCCGCUUAACCACACUUCUUUACACCCGCCCGCUUAACCCGGAAGCCAGCUGCACCAAUGUGUUGGAGGAAACACAGUUCAACUGACGACCGAAGUCAGCCUGCAGGCACCCCGCCAGUCACAAGUAGUUGCUAGAGCGCAAUGAGCUAAGUAAAGCCGCCCUGGCCAAACCCUCCCCUAACCCGGACGAUGCUGAGCCAAUUGUGCGCCACUCCUGGUCACAGCCAUUUGUGACACAGCCUAGGAUCGAACCCGGGUCUGUCGUGAUGCCUCAAGUACAGCGACCGCUGCGUCACUCGGGAGGCCUGUCAUAUCUUUCUUAAUGGAACUGAAAUUAGCAUCACUAAAACACAACUGAACAAUGAAGUGACUAGUAUCUAUCUUUCUAAUCCCACCUGCUUUUCUCUCGUUGUUUGUCCUCAGUUUUACAGGAAGGGCGUGUCCCACCCUCUGAAGAUCUUCUGCAACCCCUGGAUGAUUGACCAUGCAGUGCUGCUCGUGGGCUACGGAGAACGUCAAGGCAAACCUUUCUGGGCUAUCAAGAACAGCUGGGGAGAGGACUAUGGAGAACAGGGUUACUACUACCUGUACAGAGGAUCCAGGCUCUGUGGAAUCAACAAGAUGUGCUCAUCUGCUAUUGUGAACUAGGCGAUAUGACACACACGCGCGAGCGCACACACACACGUGAUCUGAAUAAUAUUUUAUUUCAAUCUUCACCUGGGAUAAAAAAAAUAAAAAAAUCCUACACCCCCCCAAACAUACACACACACACUACCUACAAACUGAUAGAACUGCAACGUUACUCAUCCCCUACCUUAAUUGUGUAGUCAGAACACUGCAUAAUGCACUGGAAAACCUGCUGACAGCUUACUUAAAUAGGGGAGGCAGCAUUUAUUCAUACCCCAUUCUUCUCUUUCAAAACAAACCAGCUCCGAUGAAGCUAUAGUUCUAAGGUAACACUGAUCUUUUGUUGUGAUUUUACUACUAGCCUUUAAGGAUAUUUUAAUUGAAUUGCUGUGUUUUAGGCAGAGGUCAUUUCAGUCAUCUCUUUACAAUAACAGAGUCUAAAUGAUAAAGGGGAUGUCAUAUAUUUAGACUUCAGUCAUGCUGUUUAGUGUCCGUUAUGUUCCCCUGCAUCUGACUACUCUCUGUGCGGAUGCUCUAGUGUAGAAUUAAUGCUUGUGCAUUUUUGCUAGACUUUUCGUCUGUUGUAACAUGUUCUGUGCAAUACCACAUAACGUCAAUCUCUCCCCUCAGUUUAAAACUUACAACUUCACUGUGCAAGUACUUAUAAUGAAUGGGUUUGCAUGUUUUUAUUUUAUUUUAAAAGGAUCAUACAUUGACUGAUGUGUAGCCUAUUAACUGUUAAAUAUUGCAGUGCUGUGUAACUAGACAAACUAAGGUUUACUAAAAAAAAAAAAAUUGAUCCAUUAAUAAAAAAAAAUAUCAUAUU